rnacentral:lncRNA from 1 species
AAACCCUGUGUAGUAGGCUUCUGGAGGAUAGCCCAUGCAUGUACGAAGCCAGUGUGUGAUUGAAAAGAUAACCUGCAAAAAAGAAUGUUAUUUCUUCUCAAAUAUCACGCCAAUUCUGCACAACCACAAAGAUCAACAUGUAGCCGCUGCUACAAGAAACGCUAAAGAUUUUAGGUUAUGACGACUAAUCCCUGUAAGCCAUCGUGCCAAACAUAUUUU